GAUGAACGCUGGCGGCGUGCCUAAUACAUGCGAGUCGAGCGAACGGACGAGAAGCUUGCUUCUCUGAUGUUAGCGGCGGACGGGUGAGUAACACGUGGAUAACCUACCUAUAAGACUAGGAUAACUUCGGGAAACCGGAGCUAAUACCGGAUAAUAUUUUGAACCGCAUGGUUCAAAAGUGAAAGACGGUCUUGCUGUCACUUAUAGAUGGAUCCGCGCUGCAUUAGCUAGUUGGUAAGGUAACGGCUUACCAAGGCAACGAUGCAUAGCCGACCUGAGAGGGUGAUCGGCCACACUGGAACUGAGACACGGUCCAGACUCCUACGGGAGGCAGCAGUAGGGAAUCUUCCGCAAUGGGCGAAAGCCUGACGGAGCAACGCCGCGUGAGUGAUGAAGGUCUUCGGAUCGUAAAACUCUGUUAUUAGGGAAGAACAUAUGUGUAAGUAACUGUGCACAUCUUGACGGUACCUAAUCAGAAAGCCACGGCUAACUACGUG
rnacentral:rRNA from 1 species